UGCUGCUAGGUUGGAGGGGCAAGGUGACCAUCUCUGGGUCGGCAGGGGCGGCCGCCCCUUCAGCCUCCUGUUCCUGCUGAUGGUGGCGAGGGAACCUUUGCUCUGAGUGUGGUUCUUAUUGGAAUGGGACGCACUGUCACUCUUUAAACAAUGUAUUGUGCCUCAGGUGCUGCAAGAUGUCAUGUUGGAGCAUUGCAGACUGCUCUUCUCCCUUCUGCCUUUACAUACAAGAUGCCUGUUGCUGAGAACACUUGUUCCCACUUCUCUAGCAGGCAAGGAUCUGGGCAGGACAACAACCACAGGCAUGUGCUUUCUCAUCAUGUGAUGUCAUCUGCCAGGUCAUGAUGCAGCAAGAAGGCCCUCACCAGAUGCCACCCCUCCAGAACCAUGAGCCAAAUAAA
rnacentral:lncRNA from 1 species